rnacentral:rRNA from 1 species
GACGUAGGGGGCGAGCGUUGUCUGGAUUUAUUGGGCGUAAAGAGCUCGUAGGCGGUUCGGUAAGUCGGGUGUGAAAACUCUGGGCUCAACCCAGAGCCGCCACCCGAUACUGCUGUGACUCGAGUGCGGUAGGGGAGCGGGGAAUUCCUGGUGUAGCGGUGAAAUGCGCAGAUAUCAGGAGGAACACCAGUGGCGAAGGCGCCGCUCUGGGCCGUGACUGACGCUGAGGAGCGAAAGCGUGGGUAGCAAACAGG